AUUAUUGUGAGAAAUAUUACUGCGUGUCGUAGAAAGAUCGGUUUGUUUGUUGGUAGUGGUCUUCAUAAGAGUCUCCGGGAAAGUAGUAUUUACGCUCAAAGAAUAUGCCAUCUAGGUUCCUCAUUUUAGUUCUGACAGUGACGAUCGUUUGCUUGCAUUGCGGCGUGAACAGUCGCACGAUCAAGAAGAGAACGAUAAACUGUGCCUACCUAUGUUAUAUCAAUAAAGGGAGCGCACUCUGCGAUUGUAGUGCGCCCUCUGCUUUACACACGGACAAACGGUCAGGUCCCAGGCUGCCGUUUCGAUGGGGGAAGCGAUCUUUUGAACCAGCGGAGCAGGAUGUGCUUGGAGACAGCUGGUAUGAUACCGAUUCCUCACUGGGCUUCCCAGGCUAUUUCCAAGAUGUCUGAGCGUUUACGUGAAAUUGCAGCCCUAGGGUUCCACCCACGGUUUAUUCGGGAUAUUUUCGAGUCUCCGGGAGUUACUCAAGCCUUCUACAAGACAUUCGGCUCUACAUGUGACAGAAUAAAACUAUUUUUAACUCAGGCUAUUUACACGACACCAAAUUCGACACGUCACAUAAUAGAACUAUCUUUAUUCCGGCGCUUUACAAGACAUCAAAUUCAACACGUCACAGAAUAGAACUAUCUUUGUUCCGGCGCUUUACAAGACACCAAAUUCGACACGUCACAGAAUAGAACUAUCUUUGUUCCAGCGCUUUACAAGACACCAAAUUCGACACGUCACAGAAUAGAACUAUCUUUAUUCCGGCGCUUUACACGACACCAAAUUCGACACGUCACAGAAUAGAACUAUCUUUAUUCUGGCGUUUUACAAGACACCAAAUUCAACUCAAGCUAUUUUAAAAGACUUCAAGUUUUACGGUCGGUUUACUUGGGCUGUUUACAAGACGUUCGAUCCAGCACGUGACGAAAUGGAAACAUCUUUACCCACGCACAUUUCUUUAAGUGACAAAAUAGAAAGUUUACUGAGCCCGGCUAUUUUAAAGACGCACAAUAAUAGAGAUGACAAAAAAGAUCUAUAUUGAGACCGGUCAAUGUUGAAAGGCCUGAUCUAAUACUUAAUUUCCGAUUCAACACGUGACGAAAUAGAACUAUCUUUAACCCAGGCUAAUUUCGAAACGUCUCCUUGAUCAUUUGGUUUGCUUUCAACUUUUUAAUCUAAAUGUAACAAAAACUUUACUGUCUCGUACAGUAGUUUUGACAUUUAAAAAAAAAAAAAAUAAUAAUAAAAAAAACCCGACUGGUUAUAAUUUCCAUCAAAAAUAAUUAAUAUCACCCACCCACCCUCCUGCUGAUGCAAUUAGCUCUGCCCUCGAGAUAUGGGGUCACUUGACGGCCGGAAAUUACUCAUUAUGCUAUUCCGACUAAUGGCAUUUCAUUGCCGCUGGAAACAUGGCACUGCACGGCUCAUCAAUGUUUAAAUUAUUUUCAUGUGAAAUUUAUUGACUUUAUCCAUCGGGUAUAUUAUCACUCAUGUGUGUGGUUUUUUGGCACUUUUUGUUUUCUACAAAUUACUACGCAGGACCUCCAUGGGGCUGACACCAUGACGUCCGCCAUUAGUAUGUCGUCUGCUUAUUUUGCCGCGGGUUCCCAUGGGCGGGAAUACUGAUUAGACCUGCCUUACGACAGAAUGCAUCAAAGACGCUGUUCUCAAUAUGAAAUGUUUCCGAUUAAUAGAGCCAGUUUUAACGAAAACCAUUACAUGCUAAAUUACAUUUUUUUUAAAUAUAUAUAGCCUGAGUUUAUUUCGCUUUACGGCAUUACAAGAGCACGUUGAUUACUAAUAGCCUAAUUCAUGACUGCUAUUAAAGUCAAAGUGUGUUCUGUUUUACGGCACCACUAAAGUACAUUGA
rnacentral:lncRNA from 1 species